GGUGAAUAUCAUUGAAACCUCCAAAAUGGUCUAUGUUUUAGGGCCAAUAAGGAAACACUACUUCUCCCCUAUUUCUCAAUUUCAUGACCCACAUCUUCCUUUAUCACUUUAAUCUGUUUUGUCCAACCAACAUUAAUUUUCCUCCUCCUCCUCCUCCUCCUCCUCCUCUUUCUGUGUCGUUCACAGUUGAAACCAGUGACCGAGUCCAACUUCACAUGACAAUUUUUAAGCCUAAAGAAAAGUAUAAAGACAAUUUGAUUGCUGUGUUAGUGCAUCUGUUGUUGUAGGUGGGUUGUAAAGGGCUGUUGAAUGGGAUUGCAAUUGGGUUUGGCAAAUAAGGGUCAGAUGACUAACCCUUUGACAUGAGAGUGGUUGGAUGAUCAACAGAAAGGGUUUCUCUUACUGGGUUCAAUAAAUCAAAGAUGUGAUAGCUCUUUGCAAAUGGGUCUCUUUGAAUCUUGCUAUUGAUAAGAUUUUUGAUUUUGGGUUCUUCUUCAGGUAUGGCUUGCAUAAAGGAAAAAUAAAGAUACACUUGAAAAGAAAUUUUGGGUUUCUUGUUCUUUUUGGAACAACAGUGGACUUCAUAGCAAAUUGUGAAAUCAGGAUGGAUUGGCAAGGAAUCAAGGAAUCUGCAUUCUCGAACUCCUCUAAACAUCAAUAGAACCUACAACUGUCUUUUUCUGGGAAAGAUUGCUUGGUUUGCACCUAAUCCAGACUCUGCAGAUGUUCAUGUCAAAAUGGUUUGCUUGUGAGUUUUUGGUGAUUCUAUGGAAUACUUGCCUCAAUUGCUUUGCAGAUGAUCAUGUCAAAAACAGUAGGCUAUGUGAGUUCUUGCCAACUUUUUGGCAUACUUGCCUCAAUUUUCUUUAAAUGACACACCAAACACAGCUUGCCAGGGUGGGGGCGCGGAAAGCUGAAGAACGAUCCGAGUUCUGCAGUAGCUUGUGUUGAAACACACCAUUCUGGGAGUGUAAGCCACUGCCAAUAGGGGAGGGUCUGGUUAUGAUUUUCAUAUUGUGAAUAUGAUUUUAGGAAUAAAAUUCUGUCAAGGGGAUGCUUAGAAAUUAGUGACAUUGAAAUUGGUUGUAGUCAACCAUAUAAUGCAAUCACUAAAUAAACAGUGGAGAGAGAGAGAGAGAGAGGUGCUAAUCGAAGGCAAGCAUCAUAAAACAAUCUUUACAGGGUCACGGUUUAUUCAUCACUGCAUAAUUUUACAUAAAGCAUAUUUCUAGUCCCCAUCUAUGUUACAGUAAAGUAAAAUUUUACGCAAAUCUCCCCCCAACUACAACCAAAAAUAAAUAUCCAUCUAGCUUCUCAUAAUAAAAUUAGAAAAGGGCAUGAUACAAUUUGGGUUUGCCCACUCCUAUACACCUACAAUAAUCACAUGCCAUCGCCCUCAUCUUGCUGGGCAUCAGAUCCAGCUCUUCCUUCUCUAACCAUUUUAUUGCCAUCGGAACCUUCAGCUGUACCUUC